UUUUUUUUUAUGUAAUGCUUACGUGUCUCUCUUAUCUGAACAGUUCCAGUCGUGAUUCUGAAGUACACAAGUGGAAAGUGCUUUAAAUUUUCGUAAUCUUUGACAUUCGAUAAGUGCGUUAUCAACCCAAAGUAAGUGCCUCAGUUCUGAAGAUAUUAGAAUGGAAAUCGCAAUGGUGGUUGAGUAUAGGAGAAAUGUCAUCUUAAAUUUUGAAAUAUUUAUUAGCCAUUUACAUUUGGUGUCAAUUUACUCUACACUAUAAAAAUGUUUGAUUUAAUAAAGUUUCAUCAUUGAACAUGAAAAUCGUCA